AGUUGCUUCCGGGUGGUUUAAUUGAUUGGAACACACAGUUUGAUGGUAGACAUGGGUUUGGGAGGUUUUUACUAUGAGAGGGUAACAGGAUUAAUUGAGACAGAGUUGCCGCGAAUUUUGUGUUGUGGCGGGUUGUGAGACUCGACUAUUGGUUUGAUGUAAUUGAAAUUUAGUAGGGUUAAGGGGUGGUUUUUGCGAGGGAUUGAUGCUUUGAUUAGGUUUUGCAUGUAUAGGUGCAUGUGUUCUUCAGACAUGGUGAUAGGACACCCACACCUGUGGGGCGUCCUAAAAACCGGAGCGACAUGUGGUCAAGCCGCGUCCAAGAGGUGCCUUUGCCAUUGCGAAAUGGAAAAUUCUUUCGACAGAAGUAUCCGUGGGGAAAUCUCACUACCAAGGGUAGGCUACCAAUUGUUCUCCAUUCACUCGAUCGAUUAGGUUAUAUUCUUUCUUUUUCCCUCCCCCGGCAUACAUAACUCUGGUCUGAUGAUAACGUACUGGCAAUUUAAUUCUCUUCCAUCCGAAUAUUCUCAAUAUUGCCUGCACACCAUAUUACUCAAGAAGGUAUACUGAAUUAACAUCGGUAGAAGUGGAUUGAUUUUGUAACUCGACAUCGGAAAACCCUAGUUCUUAAAAGGUUGGGAGAAGAAAUGUGACAGGUGCGCAGCAGGCAAGGGAUUUGGGUGCGUGGUUAAGAGAGCACUACGUACCCCAGUUCAGCAACCCUGUGGGAAAGGUCAGGCUUCAGGAGGCGCCUGAGAAGUUCAUCAGCUUGCGCACAACUAGCUUUCUGCGCACCAAUCUCACUGGUAUUUAAGUCUUUUCAAUCCCUAUUCAGUAUGUAUUUGUUGAAUUCGUUUACGCUCCUGAUCCAUGUUUCUGCUCUCAACGAUUAUUAUUGGUUUCUGCAUUUGGAUUACGACUUUUAUGCGCUUCAGGCAGCCCAUUAUUAUUUUUAAUUUGUAGUUGAGAAAUUGUUUUGACACUUGGCUAUUCUUUGGAAUCCUCAGCCUG
rnacentral:lncRNA from 1 species